rnacentral:lncRNA from 1 species
GACCGUGAGUGGAUGUACACGGGCCGCUCUAGUCAGGAUUCAUUGACCGAUGAAUGGAUUGAAAAGACCGUGCAUUCUUGGAAUGGGCGUUUGCUAGGGUCAAAGGAGCUAGUGUCACUUGGUGUCCGUGCAGUAGAUGUGCAAACAUGCGUCGAAAAACCAAGCUAGAAAUGGGCAAACAUCUUGUGAAGAACGGAUUUACGUCAUACUACAC